rnacentral:rRNA from 1 species
AUUGAACGCUGGCGGCAUGCCUUACACAUGCAAGUCGAACGGUAACAGGUCUUCGGAUGCUGACGAGUGGCGAACGGGUGAGUAAUACAUCGGAACGUGCCUAGUAGUGGGGGAUAACUACUCGAAAGAGUGGCUAAUACCGCAUGAGAUCUACGGAUGAAAGCAGGGGAUCGCAAGACCUUGUGCUACUAGAGCGGCCGAUGGCAGAUUAGGUAGUGGGUGGGAUAAAAGCUUACCAAGCCGACGAUCUGUAGCUGGUCUGAGAGGACGAUGAGCCACACGGGGACUGAGACACGGCCCAGACUCCUACGGGAGGCAGCAGUGGGGAAUUUUGGACAAUGGGCGAAAGCCUGAUCCAGCAAUGCCGCGUGCAGGAUGAAGGCCUUCGGGUUGUAAACUGCUUUUGUACGGAACGAAAAGCCCCGGGUUAAUACCCUGGGGUCAUGACGGUACCGUAAGAAUAAGCACCGGCUAACUACGUGCCAGCAGCCGCAGUAA